CCCUUAGAUGUCCGGGGCUGCACGCGCGCUACACUGAAGGAAUCAGCGUGCUAAAACCAUUGUCGAAAGGCAUUGGUAAACCCAUUAAAAUCCUACGUGAUUGGGAUCGGGAAUUGCAAUUAUUUCCCUUGAACGAGGAAUUCCCAGUAAGUGUGGGUCAUAAGCUCGCGUUGAUUACGUCCCUGCCCUUUGUACACACCGCCAGUCGCUGCCCGGGACUGAGCCGUUUCGAGAAAAGCGGGGACUGCUGCUGUCGGGGCUUUCGGGCCUUGGCUUCGGUGGAAACCGCUUUAAUCGCAGUGGCUUGAACCGGGCAAAAGUCGUAACA
rnacentral:rRNA from 1 species